GGGUGGCAGCAGUGGGGAAUAUUGGACAAUGGGGGCAACCCUGAUCCAGCCAUGCCGCGUGAGUGAUGAAGGCCUUAGGGUUGUAAAGCUCUUUCACCGGUGAAGAUAAUGACGGUAACCGGAGAAGAAGCCCCGGCUAACUUCGUGCCAGCAGCCGCGGUAAUACGAAGGGGGCUAGCGUUGUUCGGAUUUACUGGGCGUAAAGCGCACGUAGGCGGAUAUUUAAGUCAGAGGUGAAAUCCCAGGGCUCAACCCUGGAACUGCCUUUGAUACUGGGUAUCUUGAGUAUGGAAGAGGUGAGUGGAAUUCCGAGUGUAGAGGUGAAAUUCGUAGAUAUUCGGAGGAACACCAGUGGCGAAGGCGGCUCACUGGUUCAUUACUGACGCUGAGGUGCGAAAGCGUGGGGAGCAAACAGGAUUAGAUACCCCUG
rnacentral:rRNA from 1 species